rnacentral:sRNA from 1 species
UGCACUUUACCAAAUGAAAUAGACUGGUUUCUGAAAGCUGAUUAUGAAUUAAUUUCUUAGAAAUGGAAUUAUAAAUUUUAAAUGGAGUAGUGGUGCUAUUGUGUGUGUGUGUGUGUGUGUGUGUGUGUGUGCUGGGAAGGAGGCUUACAA